rnacentral:rRNA from 1 species
AUACGUAGGGGGCGAGCGUUGUCCGGAAUGAUUGGGCGUAAAGGGCGCGUAGGCGGCCUGUUAAGUCUGGAGUGAAAGUCCUGUUUUCAAGAUGGGAAUUGCUUUGGAUACUGAUGGGCUUGAGUGCAGGAGAGGUUAUCGGAAUUCCCGGUGUAGCGGUGAAAUGCGUAGAGAUCGGGAGGAACACCAGUGGCGAAGGCGGGUAACUGGACUGCAACUGACGCUGAGGCGCGAAAGUGUGGGGAGCAAACAGGAUUAGAUACCCUGGUAGUCCACACUGUAAACGAUGAAUGCUAGGUGUAAGAGGUAGCGGCCCCUUUUGUGCCGGAGUUAACACAAUAAGCAUUCCGCCUGGGGAGUACGGCGGCAAGGUUGAAACUUAAAGUAAUUGACGGGG